rnacentral:rRNA from 1 species
AGGAUAAACGCUGGCGGCGUGCCUAACACAUGCAAGUCGAACGCGCUUGCUAUCCGCAAGGGGAGCGAGCGAGUGGCGGACGGGUGAGGAACACGUGGGUGACCUACCUUUCAGUGAGGGAUACCGGCGAGAAAUUGCCGACAAGACCGCAUACGCUUGUUGCACCAAUGCAACACGCAAAGCUGCACGCGAGUGUGGCGCUGGGAGAUGGGCCUGCGGCCGAUUAGCUAGCUGGUGGGGUAAUGGCUUACCAGGGCGACGAUCGGUAGCCGGCCUGAGAGGGGUGACCGGGCCACGACUGGGACUGGGACACGGCCCAGACUCCUACGGGAGGCAGCAGUGGGGAAUAUUGCACAAUGGGCGAAAGCCUGAUGCAGCGACGCCGCGUGAGGGAUGACGGCCUUCGGGUUGUAAACCUCUUUCAGUAGGAACAAGGACACACGUUGUGUGGUUGAGGGUACUUGCAGAGAAGCGCCGGCUAACUACGUG